CCUACGGGGGGCAGCAGUGAGGAAUAUUGGUCAAUGGGCGAGAGCCUGAACCAGCCAAGUCGCGUGAGGGAGUACUGCCCUAUGGGUUGUAAACCUCUUUUGUCGGGGAGCAAAAGCCGGACGUGUCCGGCUGUGAGAGUACCCGAAGAAAAAGCAUCGGCUAACUCCGUGCCAGCAGCCGCGGUAAUACGGAGGAUGCGAGCGUUAUCCGGAUUUAUUGGGUUUAAGGGGUGCGCAGGCGGAUUUUUAAGUAUGCGGUAAAAUCGUGGGGCUCAACCCCAUCCAGCCGUUGAAACUGGGGAUCUAGAGUGUGCGAGAGGUAUGCGGAAUGCGUGGUGUAGCGGUGAAAUGCAUAGAUAUCACGCAGAACCCCGAUUGCGAAGGCAGCAUACCGGUGCACAACUGACGCUCAGGCACGAAAGCGUGGGUAUCGAACAGGAUUAGAUACCCUUGUAGUC
rnacentral:rRNA from 1 species